UACGGAGGGGGCUAGCGUUGCUCGGAAUCACUGGGCGUAAAGCGCACGUAGGCGGAUCUUUAAGUCAGGGGUGAAAUCCUGGAGCUCAACUCCAGAACUGCCUUUGAUACUGGGGAUCUCGAGUCCGGAAGAGGUGAGUGGAACUCCGAGUGUAGCGGUGAAAUGCGUAGAUAUCUGAAGGAACAUCAGUGGCGAAAGCGACUUCCUGGACCAAUACUAACGCUCAUGUGCGAAAGCGUGGGGAGCAAACAGG
rnacentral:rRNA from 1 species